rnacentral:rRNA from 1 species
GAUGAACGCUGGCGGCGUGCCUAACACAUGCAAGUCGAGCGAUUCUCUUCGGAGAAGAGCGGCGGACGGGUGAGUAACGCGUGGGUAACCUGCCCUGUACACACGGAUAACAUACCGAAAGGUAUGCUGAUACGAGAUAAUAUACUUUUAUCGCAUGGUAGAAGUAUCAAAGCUUUUGCGGUACAGGAUGGGCCCGCGUCUGAUUAGCUAGUUGGUAGGGUAACGGCUUACCAAGGCGACGAUCAGUAGCCGACCUGAGAGGGUGAUCGGCCACAGUGGAACUGAGGAACGGUCCAAACUCCUACGGGAGGCAGCAGUGGGGAAUAUUGCACAAUGGGCGAAAGCCUGAUGCAGCAACGCCGCGUGAGCGAUGAAGGCCUUCGGGUCGUAAAGCUCUGUCCUCAAGGAAGAUAAUGACGGUACUUGAGGAGGAAGCCCCGGCUAACUACGUGCCAGCCGCCGCCGUAAGAC